GAUGGCUAAUACCCGGGAUUAACAACAGAUGAUGCCUAUCAACUGUUUAAAAGUAUGGUUCUGCUAUCACUCUUGGAUGGGACCUGCGGUGCAUUAGCUAGUUGGUAGGGUAACGGGCCUACCAAGGCGAUGAUGCAUAGCCGAGUUGAGAGACUGAUCGGCCACAUUGGGACUGAGACACGGCCCAAACUCCUACGGGAGGCAGCAGUAGGGAAUCUUCCACAAUGGACGCGAGUCUGAUGGAGCAACGCCGCGUGAGUGAAGAAGGGUUUCGGCUCGUAAAGCUCUGUUGUUGGUGAAGAAGGACAGGGGUAGUAACUAACCUUUGUUUGACGGUAAUCAAUUAGAAAGUCACGGCUAACUACGUGCCAGCAGCCGCGGUAAU
rnacentral:rRNA from 1 species